UACGAAGGGGGCUAGCGUUGCUCGGAUUUACUGGGCGUAAAGGGCGCGUAGGCGGCGUGACAAGUCACUUGUGAAAUCUCCGGGCUUAACUCGGAACGGUCAAGUGAUACUGUCGUGCUAGAGUACAGAAGGGGCAACUGGAAUUCUCGGUGUAGCGGUGAAAUGCGUAGAUAUCGAGAGGAACACCUGCGGCGAAGGCGGGUUGCUGGGCUGAUACUGACGCUGAGGCGCGAAAGCUAGGGGAGCGAACGGG
rnacentral:rRNA from 1 species